ACACUGAUACGCUUUCCAGGGCAUGGCUCGGUGGGGCUGGUGGAGCUUCUCCCACUCUGUAAGCAAGGAACUCAGCUUUCCCUGUCCCUGUGAGGUUGUCCACCUGUGGCUGAUGCUCUUACACCCCCUAUGUGCAUUGCUAAAAUGAGAACAAGUUCCCUGAAGCAAAUAAAGAAACAAGGCAUUGAGCAGACAAAUAUCUAUGUAUUUCCAACAGGAAUAAGUGGGAUAUGUUUAGAUUUGCUGUUGCAGCUCUUGGUGCAGGUUCAUCUUUGAUUCAGGAAGAAAAAGGAGCUUGGAAAAAAAAACAGACUUUGCUAACCAGGAGGAGACUGUCACGUCUGCCAGAUGAUCUGUGAAGAUCCUGUAUUGAGAUCUUUAGUCAGAGUGUGAAGAAGGAAUGAGACUCUUUCGCCUCCUAAAAUAAGGAGAGGAUAUAGUCCAAAAGGUGCAAGCGUGGCUGAAUCGGGACCAUGGACACGCGUCUGACAGAGGAGACAUGAAAAGCAGAGGAGCUUUCCACUUGUUUGAAGGUUUCCACCGCGUGGAAAUGCUUCUGUAAUCACCAUGCCCAGAACUAAUAAUGAAAAUGGCGUUUUAGCUACAAACGAAGCAAAAAAU